CGGACCGGCGCACGGUGCGUAACGCGUAUGCAACCUACCUUCAACAGGGGAUAACACUGAGAAAUUGGUACUAAUACCCCAUAAUAUCAUAGAAGGCAUCUUUUAUGGUUGAAAAUUCCGAUGGUUAGAGAUGGGCAUGCGUUGUAUUAGCUAGUUGGUGGGGUAACGGCUCACCAAGGCGACGAUACAUAGGGGGACUGAGAGGUUAACCCCCCACACUGGUACUGAGACACGGACCAG
rnacentral:rRNA from 1 species